CAAAAUUCAACUCAUGAGGUGAAACGGUGCGCAUUGAGUUAAAGCGAUGAGCAGCAUAGGAGGGAGUGGAGUUCUGGGAGGAGGAGCUUCAACUUCAUCAUGGGUCUCUACGACGUCCGUUUCCGCUUCAGGGAAGAGAAUUCAGAGAGAAAUGGCGGAGCUCAACUUGGACCCACCUCCAGAUUGCUCUGCUGGACCCAAAAGUGACAAUCUUUACAACUGGGUCUCCACCAUUAUAGGCCCUACUGAGUUACCAGCGAACCUUUUGUUCCUCCUAACAAGUGGAGAAGAUGGAGAUAAAACUCCUUUGGGCUAUGUUGUUUUGAAAAUUAGACCAAGGGACUAUUUAUCAACAACUAAGUGUUGUGAAUCUGUAGGACGAUCAAGGGAUCGAAGAAUUGCUCACGUGAGCUACUUGGAGGAGUGCAGCAGCGUUGCCAUCAAGCUCCCGUUCCUCCUCCUAAUAGGUGGAAAAGAUGGAGAUGAACUUGUGGAGACAAAUUCAGGCUGGUUGGGUUGUUUGAAAAUUAAAUGUGAGGGUGGUUCAGCUAAGAAAGUCCUGAAGUAUAAAGUUUUGGUUAAGAGGAGCGCAAUUUGCCUGAGUUUCUCCAUUCAAAGGAACACCGUACCAGGGAGGUAUAUUUUUUCUCGACAUAAUAUUUCCAAGUGAUUAUCCAUUUAAACCUCCAAAGGUGGUGUUUAAAACUCGCAUCUUCCACUGCAAUGUUGAUUCUGCUGGCAAUGUUAGUUUGGACAUCUUGAAGGAUAGUUGGAGUCCAGCUUUAACAAUUACAAAGGUGCUGCUUGCAAUCAGAUAAUCCAAUUGUCCCUGGCAUUGCUCACUUGUACUUGGCAGAAAGGGCUAAACAUGAUCAACUAGCUGCAGAGUGGACACAUCGAUUUGCCAAAUAAAAGAAUCGCAUGAUGAGUUUGGUGAGUAUCGUAUUAUUGUCUUUUCUACUCGGUAUUCAACUUUCUUGUAAAUUCCUUAGCAGCCAGUCGAAUAUAAUCAUCUCAGAUCAUGCUCAUCGCAAAUUGUAUAAUAGUCAUUGCGUAAACAUCUGCAGACCUUUUAUUCAAUGUGAACUGUAAAGCCUCGGUGAAACUAUCGAAUGUUUGAUAUUUAACCAAGAUGUAUUAGCUUCAUGCAAUUUUCUUUUCACCUCAUCCGGAUGAAUCUUGCAAGAGUUUACGAGCAACAUCACUCAUCAGUUAUCAA